rnacentral:rRNA from 1 species
UACGGAGGAUGCGAGCGUUAUCCGGAUUUAUUGGGUUUAAAGGGUGCGUAGGCGGAUUAAUAAGUCAGUGGUGAAAUCCUGCAGCUUAACUGCAGAACUGCCGUUGAUACUGAUAGUCUUGAGUUUGGUUAAGGUAGGCGGAAUGUGUAAUGUAGCGGUGAAAUGCUUAGAUAUUACACAGAACACCAAUUGCGUAGGCAGCUUACUGAGCCGACACUGACGCUGAGGCACGAAAGCGUGGGGAUCAAACAGGAUUA